rnacentral:RNase_P_RNA from 1 species
GCGGGUGGCCGGAUGACCGCGAGCCUUCGGGCGCGAGGAAAGUCCGGACUCCAUGGGACAAGGGUGCCGGGUAACGCCCGGCCGGGGCAACCCGAGGGAAAGCGCCACAGAGAACAGACCGCCCCACCGGCCUUCGGGGCCCGGGGCAAGGGUGAAACGGUGGGGUAAGAGCCCACCGCGGGACUGGCAACAGGACCGGCAUGGCAAGCCCCACCCGGAGCAAUGCCGAAUAGGGGUUCCGCGCGGGCCUGAUCCUUCCGGGGAUAUCGCCGCAGGGACGUCUCAGCCCGAGGAACCCGGGUUGGCAGCUCGAUCCCGUCGGCAACGGCGGGGCCAGAGGAAUGGUCAUCGAAGGGGGCAACCCCGGAACAGAAUCCGGCUUACAGGCUGCCCGCACAA